GAUGAAGAACGUAGCGAAAUGCGAUACUUGGUGUGAAUUGCAGGAUCCCGUGAACCAUCGAGUCUUUGAACGCAAGUUGCGCCCGAAGCCAUCAGGUUGAGGGCACGUCUGCCUAGGCGUCACAUAUCGUUGCCCAAUGCCUAUUGCAGUGCAAUAGGAAUUUCUAGGGCGAAUGAUGGCUUCCCGUGAGCGUUGUUGCCUCGCGGUUGGUUGAAAAUCGAGUCCUUGGUAGGGUGUGCCAUGGUAGAUGGUGGUCGAGUUAGAACGAUACCGAUCAUGUGCAUGCUCCCCAAAAUAUGGCCUCUAUGACCCACACGCGUCUUUUGACGCUCAUGACGAGACCUCAGGUCAGGCGGGGCUACCCGCUGAAUUUAAGCAUAUCAAUAAGCGGAGGA
rnacentral:misc_RNA from 1 species